rnacentral:rRNA from 1 species
UGUAAGCGUAUACCAUAGUUGUUGCAGUUAAAACGCUCGUAGUCGGAAUUUGGCAGUUCCGGAUGUGUGCGCGUCGUGUGCGCACUUCGCGGGGAUUGCUUUUGUGGUCUUGCGUAGGAUGAGGCACUUUUAUUAGUGAACGUCCUCACGCAACCACUCUUUACUGUGAGAAAAUCAGAGUGCUCAAAGCAGGCAUUUGCCGUGAAUGUAUUAGCAUGGAAUAAUAGAAUAGGACUCGGUUCUAUUUUGUUGGUUUGUUGGGACUGAGUAAUGAUUAAGAGGGACAGUUGGGGGCAUUUGUAUUCCGGCGCUAGAGGUGAAAUUCUUAGAUUGCCGGAAGACAAACUGCUGCGAAAGCGUCUGCCAAGGAUGUUUUCAUUGA